GACAACCGAGGAAUAUGUGUGCAAGCCUGUCCGUGUGACUCCAAGCAUCUAGGAUGCCAUUUAUACACUGGCAGCAAAGCCAACAGGUUUGAUACCCUGACCCACCUCUGUCUCUUCUCAGCGACUCUCAGCAGCUCACACACCAGUUUGGAGUGUGGCGAGAGGGCCAGCUGCACGCCACACUCUUCCAGGACGGCCAUGGUGCGGUCGGGCCCGGCUGUCCGAGCCAGCAUCAGGGUCAGGCUCUCUGGGCUGAUCUUUCCACCGCAGUCUGCUGAGCCGUUUGCCAAGCCGCUGCCGUUCACCCCUGUGACCUGCUCAGAGUCCACCUCACUGCUGCUCCGCUGACAUAACUGGAUCAAGAGCUUCCACUCUUCUAGAGUCUGGGGCUCAACACCUGAAAGAUGUCACGAUGGAUGGGUAUUUCUUACCAAUAAUGAUACGUGUGUUAUAUCAGUACCUGUAACUGGUACCUUAUUUGUGUAAGUUAUUCUACGCCAUGAGAAGCCUUUAAUCAGAAUGGAGACAUUAAGUUGACUACACUACCACCCCUCCUUAUCCACAAGAUUUUCACACAAAUACAUAUUUAGGAUGAUUAUUCCUUAGAGCACUUAAAGAACUUUGCAAUUGAGUAAUAUUUGGGUAAUGUUAUUUUAAACAUAUUUCUGCUCUGUCAGUUAUGCCACACUGAACAGGUUGAGGCUACUCUGGUACUAGCCAAUCCCAUUAUUUCAAAACAAAGAAUGCUAUGAUUGGCCUAUAAAUAGGGAUGCACUUUUUUUUUUGCCACUGCUACUUUGCUUAACAUUACUUAGUGCUUAGCUAAUGGUGGAUUAAUGUUGGGUCUUUGUAAAUAAUAGAAUAAUAAAGAGUACAGUCUAGACUUGCUCUUUUUGUAGUGUGUUGAGAUAACAUUUGUUAUGAGUCGGCGCAAUACAAAUAAAUAUUAACUGAUCGGUUGAAA